CCUACGGGGGGCAGCAGUGAGGAAUAUUGGUCAAUGGGCGAGAGCCUGAACCAGCCAAGUCGCGUGAAGGAUGACGGCCCUACGGGUUGUAAACUUCUUUUGUCAGGGAGCAAAUGGGUCCACGCGUGGGCUUAGCGAGAGUACCUGCAGAAACAGCAUCGGCUAAAUCCGUGCCAGCAGCCGCGGUAAUACGGAGGAUGCGAGCGUUAUCCGGAUUUAGUGGGUUUAAAGGGUGCGUAGGCGGAAUAUCAGGUCAGCGGGAAAAAUUCGGGGCUAAACACCGUCGUGCAGUUGAAACUGAUGUUCUUGAGUGGGCGAGAAGUAUGCGGAAUGCGUGGGGUAGCGGUGAAAUGCAUAGAUAUCACGCAGAACUCCGAUUGCGAAGGCAGCAUACCGGCGCCCAACUGACGCUGAAGCACGAAAGCGUGGGUAUCGAACAGGAUUAGAUACCCGAGUAGUC
rnacentral:rRNA from 1 species